rnacentral:rRNA from 1 species
UGCCGAGAAAAGCCUCUAGAUAGAAAAUAGGUGCCCGUACCGCAAACCGACACAGGUAGUCAAGAUGAGAAUUCUAAGGUGAGCGAGCGAACUCUCGUUAAGGAACUCGGCAAAAUGACCCCGUAACUUCGGGAGAAGGGGUGCUCUUUAGGGUUAACGCCCAGAAGAGCCGCAGUGAAUAGGCCCAAGCGACUGUUUAUCAAAAACACAGGUCUCUGCUAAACCGUAAGGUGAUGUAUAGGGGCUGACGCCUGCCCGGUGCUGGAAGGUUAAGAGGAGUGGUUAGCUUCUGCGAAGCUACGAAUCGAAGCCCCAGUAAACGGCGGCCGUAACUAUAACGGUCCUAAGGUAGCGAAAUUCCUUGUCGGGUAAGUUCCGACCCGCACGAAAGGCGUAACGAUUUGGGCACUGUCUCAACGAGAGACUCGGUGAAAUCAUAGUACCUGUGAAGAUGCAGGUUACCCGCGACAGGACGGAA